CAACAUAUCUGAUGCACCCCCAUUAUACUUUCGAGAUAGCUAUGAGAUCUCUUCUCAUGGAGCUAAGAGACGAGAAGACAACCAAUCAUUUAAUGUUUUAGAGGUAUGAAAAUUAAAAUUUUUUAUUUUAUUUCCUUAUAAAAUUAUGAUUGUUAUUAUGAUGUUUAACUAUUUUAUUUUAUUAUCAUAUCUAAUAUAUCUUUAUUUGUAACUUAUGUAGGAAAUUGAUCAAUUUGAUACUUUUGAAUUUGCCUCUAAUACAUCAAAAAGUUAAUUAA
rnacentral:lncRNA from 1 species